UACGGAGGGGACUAGCGUUGUUCGGAAUUACUGGGCGUAAAGCGCACGUAGGCGGAUUUGUAAGUCAGGGGUGAAAUCCCGGGGCUCAACUCCAGAACUGCCUUUGAUACUGGGGAUCUCGAGUCCGGGAGAGGUGAGUGGAACUGCGAGUGUAGAGGUGAAAUUCGUAGAUAUUCGCAAGAACACCAGUGGCGAAGGCGGCUCACUGGCCCGGUACUGACGCUGAGGUGCGAAAGCGUGGGGAGCAAACAGG
rnacentral:rRNA from 1 species